CAAUAGCGUAUAUUAAAGUUGUUGCAGUUAGAACGCUCGUAGUCGGAUUUCGGGGCGGGCCGACCGGUCUGCCGAUGGGUACGCACUGGUCGGCGCGUCCUUCCUUCCGGAGACCGUGCCUACUCUUAACUGAGCGGGGGCGAGAGACGGAUCGUUUACUUUGAAAAAAUCAGAGUGUUUCAAGCAGGCAGCUCGCUCUUGCAUGGAUUAGCAUGGGAUAAUGAAAUAGGACUUUGGUGCUAUUUUGUUGGUUUCGAACACCGAAGUAAUGAUUAAAAGGGACAGUCAGGGGCACUCGUAUUCCGCCGAGAGAGGUGAAAUUCUCAGACCAGCGGAAGACGAACUACUGCGAAAGCAUUUGCCAGGGAUGUUUUCACUGA
rnacentral:rRNA from 1 species